CCUACGGGUGACAGCAGUGGGGGAUAUUGGACAAUGGGGGGAACCCUGAUCCAGCGACGCCGCGUGAGUGAAGAAGUAUUUCGGUAUGUAAAGCUCUGUCAGCAGGGAAGAAAGAAAUGACGGUACCUGACCAAGAAGCCCCGGCUAACUACGUGCCAGCAGCCGCGGUAAUACGUAGGGGGCAAGCGUUAUCCGGAAUUACUGGGUGUAAAGGGAGCGUAGACGGUUAAGUAAGUCUGGAGUGAAAGGCCGGGGCCCAACCCCGGGACUGCUCUGGAAACUAUUGAACUUGAGUGCAGGAGAGGUAAGCGGAAUUCCUAGUGUAGCGGUGAAAUGCGUAGAUAUUAGGAGGAACACCAGUGGCGAAGGCAGCUUACUAAGCCAUAACUGACACUGAAGCACGAAAGCGUGGGGAUCAAACAGGAUUAGAUACCCGUGUAGUC
rnacentral:rRNA from 1 species